UACGUAGGGGGCUAGCGUUGUCCGGAAUCAUUGGGCGUAAAGAGCGCGUAGGCGGCCCGGUAAGUCGGUUGUGAAAGUCAAGGGCUCAACCCUUGAAAGCCGACCGAUACUGUCGGGCUAGAAUCCGGAAGAGGCGAGUGGAAUUCCUGGUGUAGCGGUGAAAUGCGCAGAUAUCAGGAGGAACACCGAUGGCGAAGGCAGCUCGCUGGGACGGUAUUGACGCUGAGACGCGAAAGCGUGGGGAGCAAACAGG
rnacentral:rRNA from 1 species